AUGUUGGAACACAGAAAGUCGGAAACGGUCCGCCGCCGGAGGACGUGACUGCGGCCGAUUAGGUAGACGGUGGGGUAACGGCCCACCGUGCCGAUAAUCGGUACGGGUUGUGAGAGCAAGAACCCGGAGACGGUAUCUGAGACAAGAUACCGGGCCCUACGGGGCGCAGCAGGCGCGAAACCUUUACACUGCACGCCAGUGCGAUAAGGGGACCCCGAGUGCGAGGGCAUACAGUCCUCGCUUUUCGUGACCGUAAGAAGGUCUCAGAAUAAGAGCUGGGCAAGACCGGUGCCAGCCGCCGCGGUAAUACCGGCAGCUCGAGUGAUAGCCACUAUUAUUGGGCCUAAAGCGUCCGUAGCCGGCCGAACAGGUCCGUCGGGAAAUCCACCUGCUCAACAGGUGGACGUCCGGCGGAAACCAGUCGGCUUGGGGCCGGGAGACCAGAGAGGUACGUCCGGGGUAGGAGUGAAAUCCUGUAAUCCUGGACGGACCGCCGGUAGCGAAAGCGUCUCUGGAGAACGGACCCGACGGUGAGGGACGAAAGCUUGGGUCUCGAACCGGAUUAGAUACCCGGGUAGUCCAAGCUGUAAACGAUGCUCGCUAGGUGUGGCGUUGGCUACGAGCCAGCGCUGUGCCGUAGGGAAGCCGAGAAGCGAGCCGCCUGGGAAGUACGUCCGCAAGGAUGAAACUUAAAGGAAUUGGCGGGGGAGCACUACAACCGGAGGAGCCUGCGGUUUAAUUGGACUCAACGCCGGACAUCUCACCGGCACCGACAGUGUGCAGUGA
rnacentral:rRNA from 1 species